AUCCACAUACUUUUAAGUUAUGGCAUCAUGGUUUUGAUUUGGGUAACCAAACACCUUGUAUAGUCAAACAUCUUAAAACACCUUGUAUGGAUUGUGAGUGCCCUUCGUGGGCCAUAAUCAAUCAACUAAAAAAACUGAUUUAUUAGACAUAAAUGAUUUGUUAAAUUUAAUAGAAAGACAUGCAAGAGCAACACUUUCUUCUUGAUUGGUAGCAAUUUACAUCUGAACACGCUCGUCCAACCUUUCUCUACUCAUUUCCAUUAGUUUUUAUUCACCCCAUGCAUGCAGCCAAUAAAGAACAAAUUGCCUGACAUGCAAAUUUGAAAGGACAUCACUAAAACUAUAAAUGGGUUGUACCAAGGCCAAUGACACUUGAAAUCAAACCAUCCAACAAAGGAAGAAACACUUCGUGAGACACUAAGUAUAGAAUCGGAUUGAAAAAAAGGUACAAGAUUAUUUUUUUAGUUCGAAGCUCAAGGUCCCCUUAAUACCCUAUGAAUUUCCACUGAAAAACAGAACCACACGGUUAGACAUACUCAUUAACAACAGUAAUUAAUGCUUUAUAAGAUAAAUGUUCAUUAAAAUAUUUUUAUCUAAAUAUAUCCAUGUGGGAUCUUGUUUUGAAGGAUUUAUUGCAAGAAAUCUGAUGGUGUAAUCGAAAUUUAAUUUGGAUGUUUGGUUUUGCGGUUAUGAUUUUUUUAGUUUGUAAACAUGGUCACUGCACACAAAUCUAGGUGACUUCUGUGUUGGUUAUGUGCAUGUGUCAACGAUGGGGCCCAUUCAAUAAAGGGGAUUGGAGUCAUGGCUUCACCACAUGUGGUAGACGGAUCCUCUUUGUAACUUUUAGUUGUAGAGAUUUUUUUAGUUUGUAAACAUGGUCACUGCACACAAAUCUAGGUGACUUCUGUGUUGGUUAUGUGCAUGUGUCAACGAUGGGGCCCAUUCAAUAAAGGGGAUUGGAGUCAUGGCUUCACCACAUGUGGUAGACGGA
rnacentral:lncRNA from 1 species